UACGGAGGGGGCAAGUGUUUCUCGUACUGACUGGGCUUAAAGGGCACGCAGGUGGUUCUGACCGAUAGAUUUAGCGAAAAUAUUGUAGGCCAACUACAGGGGACUUUUCUAUCUAGGUCGUGAACUUGGAGUGUAGCUCAGGUUGAUAGAAUUUUUAGCGGAGGGGUAGAAUCCAGCGAGGCUAAGAGGAAUGCCAAUUGGUGAAAGCGUUUUUCUAGAGCUUACUGACGCUGAGGUGCGAAAGCAUGGGGAUCAAAUAGG
rnacentral:rRNA from 1 species